rnacentral:ncRNA from 2 species
GUACCUCGUAGAGGUGCUGUAAUUAAGAGUAUUUAUAAGGAGUCGACAGGCAAUGAUGUAUAAAGAAAGGAAUUACAGCCGAAGAAAAUAAUGUGUAAAAUUAUUUUCUGGCUUUACAUAUAAUAUGUGUAAAGCUGUCACCAAUAAUAUAAAGGUGGAGUGCUAUAAGGUUC